rnacentral:rRNA from 1 species
CCUACGGGAGGCAGCAGUGGGGAAUAUUGCACAAUGGGGGAAACCCUGAUGCAGCGACGCCGCGUGAGCGAUGAAGUAUUUCGGUAUGUAAAGCUCUAUCAGCAGGGAAGAAAAUGAUGGUACCUGACUAAGAAGCUCCGUCGAAUUCCGUGCCAGCACCCGCGGUAAUACGUAGGGGGCAAGCGUUAUCCGGAUUUACUGGGUGUAAAGGGAGCGUAGAUGGUCCUGCAAGCCAGAUGUGAAAGCCCGGGGCUCAACCCCGGGACUGCAUUUGGAACUGUAAGGCUAGAGUUUCGGAGAGGCAGGCGGAAUUCCUGGUGUAGCGGUGAAAUGCGUAGAUAUUAGGAGGAACACCAGUGGCGAAGGCGGCCUACUGGACGAUGACUGACGUUGAGGCUCGAAAGCGUGGGGAGCAAACAGGAUUAGAUACCCCUGUAGUC